AGCUUCAUGCAGUGGCAGUAUUGUAGCCAAUGAGGUUUGUUCCAGGCACGAUUAUUGCUAACUGAAACAACUAAAAUGGAAUCAACUCUUUCAAAGAAGCAGGUAUUGUAGAGAUUUGCAUUUAUAUGUCUUUUGUGUAAGA
rfam:Cavia porcellus supercont2_2 genomic scaffold, whole genome shotgun sequence.